rnacentral:rRNA from 1 species
AGUAACGGCGAGUGAAGCGGCAACAGCUCAAAUUUGAAAUCUGGCCUUUGGUCCGAGUUGUAAUUUGCAGAGGAUGCUUCGGGCGCGGUGCCUUCCAAGUCCCCUGGAACGGGGCGCCGGAGAGGGUGAGAGCCCCGUACGGUUGGCGGCCAAGCCUGUGUGAAGCUCCUUCGACGAGUCGAGUAGUUUGGGAAUGCUGCUCUAAGCGGGAGGUAGACCCCUUCUAAAGCUAAAUACCGGCCAGAGACCGAUAGCGCACAAGUAGAGUGAUCGAAAGAUGAAAAGCACUUUGAAAAGAGGGUUAAACAGCACGUGAAAUUGUUGAAAGGGAAGCGCUUGUGACCAGACGUGCGCCGGGGUGUUCAGCGGGCGUUCUCGCCCGUGCACUCGCCUCGGUGCAGGCCAGCGUCGGUUUGGGUGGGGGGAUAAAGGCGGCUGGAAUGUGGCUCCUCCGGGAGUGUUAUAGCCAGUCGUGCCAUGCCUCCGCCUGGACCGAGGUACGCGUUCUGCAAGGACGCUGGCGUAAUGGUCUCCAGCGACCCGUCUUGAAACACGGACCAAGGAGUCGAGGUUUUGCGCGAGUGUUUGGGUGGAAAACCCGCACGCGUAAUGAAAGUGAACGUAGGUGAGAGCUUCGGCGCAUCACCGACCGAUCCUGAUGUUUUCGGAUGGAUUUGAGUAAGAGCGUAGGGCCUCGGACCCGAAAGAUGGUGAACUAUGCUUGGAUAGGGUGAAGCCAGAGGAAACUCUGGUGGAGGCUCGCAGCGGUUCUGACGUGCAAAUCGAUCGUCAAAUCUGAGCAUGGGGGCGAAAGACUAAUCGAACCAUCUAGUAGCUGGUUACCGCCGAAGUUUCCCUCAGGAUAGCAGUGUUGUUCUUCAGUUUUAUGAGGUAAAGCGAAUGAUUAGGGACUCGGGGGCGCUAUUUAGCCUUCAUCCAUUCUCAAACUUUAAAUAUGUAAGAAGCCCUUGUUGCUUAAUUGAACGUGGGCAUUCGAAUGUAUCAACACUAGUGG